GCCUUGCGCUAUUAGAUGAGCCUAGGUCGGAUUAGUUAGUUGGUGAGGUAAUGGCUCACCAAGACCGCGAUCCGUAACUGGUCUGAGAGGAUGAUCAGUCACACUGGAACUGAGACACGGUCCAGACUCCUACGGGAGGCAGCAGUGGGGAAUAUUGGACAAUGGGGGCAACCCUGAUCCAGCCAUGCCGCGUGCAGGAUGAAGGCCUUCGGGUUGUAAACUGCUUUUGUACGGAACGAAAAGACUCUUUCUAAUACAGAGGGUCCAUGACGGUACCGUAAGAAUAAGCACCGGCUAACUACGUGCCAGCAGCCGCGGUAAUACGUAGGGUGCAAGCGUUAAUCGGAAUUACUGGGCGUAAAGCGUGCGCAGGCGGUUAUAUAAGACAGAUGUGAAAUCCCCGGGCUCAACCUGGGAACUGCAUUAGUGACUGUAUAGCUGGAGUGCGGCAGAGGGGGAUGGAAUUCCGCGUGUAGCAGUGAAAUGCGUAGAUAUGCGGAGGAACACCGAUGGCGAAGGCAAUCCCCUGGGCCUGCACUGACGCUCAUGCACGAAAGCGUGGGGAGCAAACAGGAUUAGAUACCCUGGUAGUCCACGCCCUAAACGAUGUCAACUGGUUGUUGGGAAUUUACUUUCUCAGUAACGAAGCUAACGCGUGAAGUUGACCGCCUGGGGAGUACGGCCGCAAGGUUAAAACUCAAAGGAAUUGACGGGGACCCGCACAAGCGGUGGAUGAUGUGGUUUAAUUCGAUGCAACGCGAAAAACCUUACCCACCUUU
rnacentral:rRNA from 1 species